UCGAAAGGACAACAGGGAUUUGUCCAAUAGAGAAACUAUUACACCUCACUGGCUAUGUAAAACAAAAAGGGGAAAAGGUUUUUAUGAUUCUCAAUUCAGCAGAGAUGGUUGUACUCCCCUACCAAUUGAUUGCUAUUGGUAUGGCCCAUUCUGGGCGUGUCCCCCCCCCCCACUUAAUGGUUUAUUCCAGGAAGUCAGCAAGGCUGGCUGGGAUCAGCCCUUUUGGGAAGCUGGGUUUUUGCAUAUAAAAAGGCUUGCUCCAAGGCACUUUCCUCAAAUGGAUAUGGUCCAUUAGACUGGAGUCUCUUACCGUGCAAACUCCCUCUUUUCCCUGAAGAAUGGAGUCCACAAUGGCAGAUACGACAGAUUCGCAACCCAAUUCUGGGGAUGGUAUAAAGGAAAAGGCUCAGGAGAGCUCUCCUGGCCAACCUCAUCAUGCUCUGGAUAAUUCAAUGUCUUUUUCUGAGAUCCUUCGUCUGGUCCAGGCUGGGCAGGACAUCCCUGGACUACAGAAGCUGAAUAUCACUGCAACCAAUGGGACUGCAACAGCAUCUCAAAUGGCUCCCAAACCCAAACCUUGGGAGAACAAGCAGUGAUGAAUGGAAAGCCUUUUCACUCAUCUUCCAUGCCAGAAAAAAUAUUUGUGAAAGUCUGAAGUUUGCUUGAUAAAGAUGUUAAAAUCCUGUCUGUAUGCUUGUAUUAUUAGUGGACAAGAGGUUAUUUUUUAUACUGUAAUUAAAUUCUCCCGUCUUAGUA